GACGAACGCUGGCGGCGUGCCUAAUACAUGCAAGUAGAACGCAGUUGCGAACGGGUGAGUACCGCGUAGGUAACUGCCUCAUGGCGGAGGAUAACGAUUGGAAACGAUAGCUAAUACCGCAUACUGUGAGAUGGACCUGCGUUGGAUUAGCUAGUUGGUGAGGUAAAGGGCCACCAAGGCGACGAUACAUAGCCGGACUGAGAGGGUGGUCGGCCACACUGGGACUGAGACAAGGCUCCGAACCCCUCGGGAGGCAGCAGGAGGGAAUCUUCGGCAAUGGACGGAAGUCUGAACGAGCACAGCCGCGUGAGUGAAGAAGGUUUUCGGAUCGUAAAGCGCUGUUGUUAGAGAAGCGGUAACUAAACAGAAAGGGACGGCUAACUACGUGCCAGCAGCCGCGGUAAUAC
rnacentral:rRNA from 1 species